rnacentral:rRNA from 1 species
AGGUAGCUUAACCUUCGGGGGGGCGCUUACCACUUUGUGAUUCAUGACUGGGGUGAAGUCGUAACAAGGUAACCGUAGGGGAACCUGCGGUUGGAUCACCUCCUUA